rnacentral:piRNA from 1 species
CUUCCUGAUGUCUUCCUGUUCAUUCUGACA